rnacentral:rRNA from 1 species
UGCCAGCCGCCGCGGUAAUACGGAGGGUCCAAGCGUUAAUCGGAAUUACUGGGCGUAAAGCGCGCGUAGGCGGUUUAGCAAGUUGUAUGUGAAAGCCCUGGGCUCAACCUAGGAACUGCAUCCAAAACUACUAAGCUAGAGUGCGAGAGAGGAGAGUAGAAUUUCUGGUGUAGCGGUGAAAUGCGUAGAUAUUCGGAGGAACACCAAUUGCGAAGGCAGUUCACUGGACCGUGAUCGACGCUGAGGAGCGAAAGCUAGGGGAGCAAACAGGAUUAGAUA